rnacentral:rRNA from 1 species
UACGUAGGGUGCAAGCGUUGUCCGGAAUUAUUGGGCGUAAAGAGCUCGUAGGCGGUUCGUCACGUCGGCUGUGAAAUCCCGAGGCUCAACCUCGGGUCUGCAGUCGAUACGGGCGGACUUGAGUACUGCAGGGGAGACUGGAAUUCCUGGUGUAGCGGUGAAAUGCGCAGAUAUCAGGAGGAACACCGGUGGCGAAGGCGGGUCUCUGGGCAGUAACUGACGCUGAGAAGCGAAAGCGUGGGGAGCGAACAGG